rnacentral:rRNA from 1 species
AUUGAACGCUGGCGGCAUGCCUUACACAUGCAAGUCGAACGGCAGCACGGGUGCUUGCACCUGGUGGCGAGUGGCGAACGGGUGAGUAAUACAUCGGAACAUGUCCUGUAGUGGGGGAUAGCCCGGCGAAAGCCGGAUUAAUACCGCAUACGAUAUACGGAUGAAAGCGGGGGACCUUCGGGCCUCGCGCUUUCGGGUUGGCCGAUGGCGGAUUAGCUAGUUGGUGUGGUAAAGGCCUACCAAGGCGACGAGCCGUAGCUGGUCUGAGAGGACGACCAGCCACACUGGGAGUGAGACACGGCCCAGACUCCUACGGGAGGCAGCAGUGGGGAAUUUUGGACAAUGGGCGAAAGCCUGAUCCAGCAAUGCCGCGUGUGUGAAGAAGGCCUUCGGGUUGUAAAGCACUUUUGUCCGGAAAGAAAUCCUUGGCCCUAAUACGGUCGGGGGAUGACGGUACCGGAAGAAUAAGCACCGGCUAACUACGUG